UUGUUGCCUGCGGUUGAUGGAGAGUGCCUGUGGUUCUGCUGCAAACAGCACUCGAGCUGCUCAUUGAGAUUGUUUCCAUCAGCAGCUUUUGCCACCUAGGCAGAUGUCUCUUCAAUCCAUGCCUUGGAGCCUGCUUUACGUUCUCCCCUGUUAACUCAGAAGAUAUCUGUGAAGAAUGAGGCAGCAGCAUUAAGUGAUUGUUUGAAGGAUGAAAUAACAAAAGCCACUGCCCAUUGAGACAAGAGUUAUUGUUUGCUGAGUAGUUUGAAUACUGUAGUUUUUGAAUACUGUUACAGUAAUAAUGGGUAGUUGGAGUAAAAGUAGUUGUGUUACAUCUUGAAGCAAACAGUCAUUAAAAAGAUUAGUCUUAAAAUGUAUGAACUGCUGUACAGGGAGUUUUAACACUGCAAAACAGAAAUAAUUUUAGCCAGCAGGAUACUCUGUAUCUAAGCCAACACAA